GUUCCCUGGAAAGCAGAGGUUGGACUUCAGAGCGAACAGUGCGUUUACAUAAGUAACUGCUUGUUGCACUCAUACAGCAGAAGAGGCAACACAUGGAGGCAGACAUCAUCAACAUGAAAUUGUGAAGAUCAGCUCGCAAACCAGAACUGCUGGCACAUUGCAGCUUAAUGGCGACCGGUGGCUUUGGACACAAAUGACAGAAGGGAUCAUAAUGCAUCAGCUUCCUUGACACCAGAGCUGCUGUCAUUGAGCACGGGAUGACACAGAUCGCCUGCAGAGAAUCACGAGGGCAGAGCAGCUUCUUCCUAUUUUGAGAACAGAGAUCUCCUGCUGCCCUUUGCAUGGGGGCAAACAGCAACCCUGUAGUCCUUCUAUGCUGCCUGACCUGACAAGGAGCACAGCUCACCGUUUUGACAGUUUGACUGGUCUGAAGACUUGGAUACCCAAGACAGGUGCAUAGACAAAAACCUGAUCCCAUGCGCAGAGAUCUUGUAAACAGGUCUUCCCAGGAGGAGAUCAAGGAGAUCUGCUCAGCCUGCUUUCCAGACAUCUCUGCUAUCUUGGAACAACGUUUGAGUUUCUGGGCCCUUUUUAGGGUUUUCUCAUCACAAGGCACCAGGCAGCCUUCAUACAGCAGACAGCUGAGUGGCAAAGCCUUGCCGCAGAUGCAUUCGUUCCGUGGUUGGUGCUGUCCUGCAGGCUGUGCGUGCUGCAGAAAUCCAAGCUGUGGCUGCUGCUCCUGAGCCAGAGCCACGUCAGUGCUGACCUGAUGGUGCUGCUGAGGAUGUCACAAGGGACACGUGUUGGCUUUGGUUAUCAACAGCCAGCACUACAGUGAUUUCAUCAACACUGGUGGUGUCCUUUCUCAGAACUGUGAUGAGGCGUGAAGUUUGGAA